CUUUUCUUUUUUUUGUUUCCCUCACUCCCAUCUCCCAAUGCUCAUGAAUUAGAAAAGUAAUUAAAUAGGAGAUAAUGAAAUUUGUUUGUAGAAUAGUAAUGGAGAUGCUAAAAAUGUAAAAAGAGAAAGUAGUGAAGUUGUAGAACUCAACACCGAGAGACAUGAAAAGAAGAGAAGCAGAAGAGAAACCCAAUCUCAAAGCAAGGCUACAAUUUGCAGAAUUUUUUUUCUCCCCCCGGUUUAUGCAUUACAAUGAAUUCAUGUUCUUUCCAUGAAGGAGAUGGAUAACAUAAGCUUAAGCAGUGAGCCAUUGAAUAGAUGUGAAGUUGAUAUGGAAGAUGAUUGUCCUUCUCCUCCUAACGAGUGUUCCUCAAAAAAAGAACUUCAAGAAAAAAAGGAUGAACCGGAACUUGGAAUGGAGUUUUUGCUCUCUUGCUCUAUUGAUUCUGCAAUUUUAUAGGCUUAAGUUUUGGUUUAUUGUAUUUGCUAUCAUGUACUCUAUUUAUCUUUCUCUAUUGGUUCGGCUUUUUUUUGUGCUGCAAAUUUAUGUCUUCGCUAUUACAUUUAUAAAAAAUUUUACAUUUAGUUUGA